GACCUAGCUGGAAAAAUGAGAAAAGUUGGUACAUAACACCCGUCGACUCAUCGAACCACGGUGUCUACCUCCCAAUCUCGUAUCAGCCUUCCACUUUUGAGAAUUCCCAGACUCGUCUGGACCUUUUCUGCUCCAUCAUCUUGUAUUCCAAAUCGCCCCGCGCUCGACGAGAAACGUACUCCUGGGAGUUAUACAGAAUUUUCAAUCUUCCGACUUUGAAGAGUCUUCUUGAUUAAUUCCAAAGGUCAUCGGACGUCUCGACGUCUUCUCGCCACUUCUCUACCCAUU
rnacentral:lncRNA from 1 species